rnacentral:rRNA from 1 species
CGGAGGAUCCAAGCGUUAUCCGGAAUCAUUGGGUUUAAAGGGUCCGUAGGCGGUUUAGUAAGUCAGUGGUGAAAGCCCAUCGCUCAACGGUGGAACGGCCAUUGAUACUGCUAGACUUGAAUUAUUAGGAAGUAACUAGAAUAUGUAGUGUAGCGGUGAAAUGCUUAGAGAUUACAUGGAAUACCAAUUGCGAAGGCAGGUUACUACUAAUGGAUUGACGCUGAUGGACGAAAGCGUGGGUAGCGAACAGGAUUAGAUACCCUGGUAGUCCACGCCGUAAACGAUGGAUACUAGCUGUUGGGAGCAAUUUCAGUGGCUAAGCGAAAGUGAUAAGUAUCCCACCUGGGGAGUACGUUCGCAAGAAUG